UACAGAGGUCCCAAGCGUUGUUCGGAUUCACUGGGCGUAAAGGGUGCGUAGGCGGUUGGGUAAGUCUGUCGUGAAAUCUCCGAGCCUAACUCGGAAACUGCGUCGGAUACUAUUCAACUCGAGGAAUGGAGGGGAGACUGGAAUUCUCGGUGUAGCAGUGAAAUGCGUAGAUAUCAAGUGGAACACCAGUGGCGAAGGCGAGUCCCUGGAAAAUACCUGACACUGAGGCACGAAAGCUAGGGGAGCAAACAGG
rnacentral:rRNA from 1 species